GACGAACGCUGGCGGCGUGCCUAAUACAUGCAAGUUGAGCGCUGAAGGUUGGUACUUGUACCGACUGGAUGAGCAGCGAACGGGUGAGUAACGCGUGGGGAAUCUGCCUUUGAGCGGGGGACAACAUUUGGAAACGAAUGCUAAUACCGCAUAAAAACUUUAAACACAAGUUUUAAGUUUGAAAGAUGCAAUUGCAUCACUCAAAGAUGAUCCCGCGUUGUAUUAGCUAGUUGGUGAGGUAAAGGCUCACCAAGGCGAUGAUACAUAGCCGACCUGAGAGGGUGAUCGGCCACAUUGGGACUGAGACACGGCCCAACCUCCUACGGGAGGCAGCAGUAGGGAAUCUUCGGCAAUGGACGAAAGUCUGACCGAGCAACGCCGCGUGAGUGAAGAAGGUUUUCGGAUCGUAAAACUCUGUUGGUAGAGAAGAACGUUGGUGAGAGUGGAAAGCUCAUCAAGUGACGGUAACUACACAGAAAGGGACGGCUAACUACGUG
rnacentral:rRNA from 1 species